rnacentral:lncRNA from 1 species
GGUUGCCUGCCCUGUUUCCUAUAUAAGUCUGAGGAAGGCAGGGCCAUCAGGCACCAGAAGGAUUUUGCCAGCAUAGUGCUCCUGGACCAGCGAUACGCCCGGCCCCCUGUCCUGGCCAAGCUGCCGGCCUGGAUCCGAGCCCGCGUGGAGGUCAAAGCUACCUUUGGCCCCGCCAUUGCUGCUGUGCAGAAGGUCAGUCCUACCUUUUUCUUUCUGAGAGCCUCCCAACCCCGAGAUCACAUUUCUCACUGCCUUCUGUCUGCCCAGUUUCACCGGGAGAAGUCGGCCUCUUCCUGAUGGGCAACCACACCACCGCCCGGCGCCGUGCCCUUCCUUUGUCCUGCCCUCUGGAGACAGUGUUUGUCGUGGGCGUGGUCUGCAGGGAUCCUGUUACAAAGGUGAAACCCAGGAGGAGAGUGUGGAGUCCAGAGCGCUGCCAGGACCCAGGCACAGGCGUUAGCUCCCGUAGGAGAAAAUGCGGGAAUCCUGAAUGAACAGUGGGUCCUGGCUGUCCUUGGGGCGUUCCAGGGCAGCUCCCCUCCUGGAAUAGAAUCUUUCUUUCCAUCCUGCAUGGCUGAGAGCCAGGCCUCCCGCUUGGUCUCCACAGGAGGCUGUGGCAGCUGUGGCAUCCACUGUGGCAUCUCCGUCCUGCCCACCUUCUUAAGAGGCGAGAUGGAGCAGGCCCAUCUGCCUCUGCCCUUUCUAGCCAAGGUUAUAGCUGCCCUGGACUGCUCACUCUCUGGUCUUAAUUUAAAAUGAUCCCAUGGCCACAGGGCUCCUGCCCAGGGGCUUGUCACCUUCCCCUCCUCCUUCCUGAGUCACUCCUUCAGUAGAAGGCCCUGCUCUCUAUCCUGCCCCAUAGCCCUGCCUGGAUUUGUAUCCUUGGCUUCGUGCCAGUUCCUCCAAGUCUAUGGCACCUCCCUCCCUCUCAACCACUUGAGCAAACUCCAAGACACCUUCUACCCCGACACCAGCAAUUAUGCCAAGGGCCAUUAGGCUCUCAACAUGACUAUAGAGACCCCGUAUCAUCAUGGAGACCUUUGUUCCUGUGGGAAAAUAUCCCUCCCACCUGCAACAGCUGCCCCUGCUGACUGCGCCUGUCUUCUCCCUCUGACCCCAGAGAAAGGGGCCGUGGUCAGCUGGGAUCUUCUGCCACCAUCAGGGACAAACCGGGGGCAGGAGGAAAGUCACUGAUGCCCAGCUGUUUGCAUCCU